rnacentral:rRNA from 1 species
AUGGACGGCUUUAGUUCCCCCGCCAUGGCACCCACAGUCCGCAAACCAGCGGCCCACCCGGCCGUCCUCGUCCUCCGCCGGCUGGACGCGCCGUUCGCCGCCGCGCUGCACGAGCACUUCCUCCUCCUGGACUUCCACGCGUCCGGCGAGCCCCUCCCGGCUUUUCUAGCCGCGGCAGCGGCAGCCCCCGAGCCCCCGCGCGCCGUGCUGGUGGUGGGCGGCGGAGCCAUACGCGUGGACGCCCCGUUCCUCGACGUCGUCCAGUCCGUCCGGUGCGUUGUCACCACGGGCACCGGCGUCGACCACAUCGACCUGGCCGAGUGCGCGCGCCGCGGCGUGGCCGUCGCCAACGCCGGGAAGGUCUACUCCACCGACGUGGCGGACCACGCCGUGGGCCUGCUGCUCGACGUGCAGCGGCGCGUGUCGGCGGCGGAGCGGUACGUCAGGCGCGGGUCCUGGCCGGCCCAGGGCGACUACCGGCCACUCGGCUCCAAGCUCGGCGGCAAGCGCGUCGGCAUCAUCGGCCUGGGCAACAUCGGCUCGCUCGUCGCGAGGCGGCUCGAAGCCUUCGGCUGCGUCAUCCUGUACAACUCGAGGAGGCGCAAGGAGGAGGGCUCGUCCCGCCGCUACACCUACUUCCCGGACGUCCGGGGCCUCGCCGCCGCGUCCGACGUGCUCGUCGUUGCCUGCGCGCUGAACGAGGAGACGAGGCACGUCGUGGGCAGGAAGGUGCUGGAUGCCCUGGGGAAGGACGGCGUGCUCAUCAACGUCGGCCGAGGGGCGAAUGUCGACGAGGCGGCGCUGGUGGCGGCGCUCAAGGAGGGGAGGAUCGCCGGCGCCGGCCUCGACGUCUUCGAGGACGAGCCGAAGGUGCCGGCGGAGCUCCUGCCCAUGGACAAUGUGGUGCUGACCCCUCACGUGGCGGUUCUGACGCAGGAAUCCAGGUCGGACCUGCGCGCGCAGACCAUCGGCAACCUCCAGGCCUUCUUCUCCGGCCAGCCAUUGCUCACUCCCGUGCCCUGCCAUCGUGCCUAA